rnacentral:rRNA from 1 species
AUACGUAGGGUGCAAGCGUUAAUCGGAAUUGCUGGGCGUAAAGCGUGCGCAGGCGGUUUUGGAAGACAGAGGUGAAAUCCCCGGGCUCAACCUGGGAACUGCCUUUGUGACUGCAAGGCUAGAGUACGGCAGAGGGGGAUGGAAUUCCGCGUGUAGCAGGGAAAUGCGUAGAUAUGCGGAGGAACACCGAUGGCGAAGGCAAUCCCCUGGGCCCGUACUGACGCUCAUGCACGAAAGCGUGGGGAGCAAACAGGAUUAGAUACCCUGGUAGUCCACGCCCUAAACGAUGUCAACUGGUUGUUGGGUCUUCAGUGACUCAGUAACGAAGCUAACGCGUGAGGUUGACCGCCUGGGGAGUACGGCCGCAAGGUUGAAACUCAAAUGAAUUGACGGGG